rnacentral:rRNA from 1 species
UACCGUAGGGGGGCAAGCGUUUGGUCCGGAAAGUCAUUGGGCGUAAAGCGCGUGUGAGGCGGCCCGGUAAGUCCGCUUGUGAAAGUCCAGGGCUACAACCCUGGGAUGCCGGUGGAUACUGUCGGGCUCGAGUCCGGAAGAGGCGAGUGGAAUUCCUGGUGUAGCGGUGAAAUGCGCAGAUAUCAGGAGAACACCCGUGGCGAAGGCGGCUCGUCUGGAACGCAACUGACGCUGAGACGCGAAGCGUGGGGAGCAAACAGG